rnacentral:ncRNA from 1 species
AAAACGGCUCUUAUAAGAGCCAUCAAAUGUCGUGAAAGAAUUGAAC